UACGGGGGGGGCAAGCGUUGUUCGGAAUUACUGGGCGUAAAGGGCGCGUAGGCGGUUCGCUAAGUUGAAUGUGAAAACUCUGGGCUUAACCCAGAGCCUGCAUCCAAAACUGGCGAACUGGAGUACUGGAGGGGAAGGCGGAAUUCCUGGUGUAGCGGUGAAAUGCGUAGAUAUCAGGAGGAACACCGGUGGCGAAGGCGGCUUUCUGGACAGUAACUGACGCUGAGGCGCGAAAGCCGGGGGAGCAAACAGG
rnacentral:rRNA from 1 species